rnacentral:piRNA from 1 species
CACUAGUAAGGCACCAGGUC